rnacentral:rRNA from 1 species
GAUGAACGCUGGCGGCGUGCCUAAUACAUGCAAGUCGAGCGAACAGAUAAGGAGCUUGCUCCUUUGACGUUAGCGGCGGACGGGUGAGUAACACGUGGGUAACCUACCUAUAAGACUGGGAUAACUUCGGGAAACCGGAGCUAAUACCGGAUAACAUUUGGAACCGCAUGGUUCUAAAGUGAAAGAUGGUUUUGCUAUCACUUAUAGAUGGACCCGCGCCGUAUUAGCUAGUUGGUAAGGUAACGGCUUACCAAGGCGACGAUACGUAGCCGACCUGAGAGGGUGAUCGGCCGCACUGGAACUGAGACACGGUCCAGACUCCUACGGGAGGCAGCAGUAGGGAAUCUUCCGCAAUAGGCGAAAGCCUGACGGAGCAACGCCGCGUGAGUGAUGAAGGGUUUCGGCUCGUAAAACUCUGUUAUUAGGGAAGAACAAAUGUGUAAGUAACUGUGCACGUCUUGACGGUACCUAAUCAGAAAGCCACGGCUAACUACGUG